rnacentral:lncRNA from 1 species
ACGCCCCGCCCGGCGACGCCUUCCCGGGUGCCUUAAAGGGGCAGCGCCCCGGGAACCGGGAAGGGGCACGGUUACCGGAGGGGGAUGGGAGCGAUGGCGGCAGCGGCUCCCAGGGCCACAGCCCUUCAGGGACUGUUAACCCUGUGUCUCUGCUCUGAGGGACCAAGGCCUCGAGAAGCUCCUGUGAUGCUUUCACCCGACACGGACACCCUCCAACGCACACGGUGUUUCGUCACUGAGACACCCAGCGCUGCAGCUGGGAACCAAGUGCUCUGUGGUGACGGCGCCCCAGAAAUCCCAAGGCCCAAGCUGAUUGAAAUGAAGCAACAGUCUUCUAUGAUGCUGAAGAGAAGGAAGUAUAAAAAGAAGCAAAAUAUUCAUGAGCACGAGGAAUCAUUUGUGUCAGUCUGA